UUUAUGCAGCAAUAUAGGAAUAAUUUUUUUGGGAUUUUCAAAUAAGGAUAACUAAAUUGCAGCAGCAGUAAGGUAGGAAACCAAAACCUAUUGCUGUAAUAUCCCUCGCUUUUAAAAAUUAUUAAUAAAGAUUUAUAUGUAAAUUGGAGGACCUAUAUGUAAAUAUAGAAAUUACAAGGACUAAACUGCUAAGUUGCAAAAAAAAAGAAAAAAAAAAGGGAAAACCGAAAAUUCGGUAUUAUCCCACCGCCUCCCACGCACUCUGUUUCUUCCAGAAACAGAGAGAGCGGUGGGGCGUGAGGAGAAGAAGGAGAGUGGUAGAAGAAGAGAGGAAGAAGAGGGAGAAGAGAAGAAGAAGAAGAAGAAGAAGAAGAAGAAGAAGAGGGAAAAGAAGAGAGGAGGAAGAAGAGAGGAAGAAGAGGGAGAAGAGAAGAAGAAGAAGAAGAAGAGGAGGUGGCUGCAGCGAGGGCUGCAGCGAGGAGCUGUGGGGCGUGGGGAGGAGAAGAGAGGAAGAAGAGGGAGAAGAGAAGAAGAAGAAGAAGAAGAAGAAGAAGAAGAGAGGAGGAUAGCUGCGGCAAGGCUGCAGCGAGGAGGUGUGUGGGGUUGGGGAGGAAAAGGGAAGAGGAGAAGAAGAGAGUAAAGAGAGGGAAGAGGGAGAGGAGCGAGAGGUGGCAGCAGCUAGGGCUGCAGCACCUCUGUUUCCUGCAGGUGGAAACAGAGGAGACGUGUGGGGCGUUCGAAGAGGAGAAGAAGAAGAAGAGGAAGAGAAGAGGAAGAGGAAGCAGGGGAAGAGGUUGUGAUACCUCUGUUUCCUGCAGAGGAAACAGAGGAGAGGGUGUGGGUGACGUCGGGGAGAAGAAGGGGAGGAAGGAGAAGAAGAGAAGAAGAAGAAAGGAAGGAAAAGGAAGAGGAGAAGGGAAGAAAGUAGCUGCGGCUGCGGUUGUGGCAGCUGCAGCUGUGGCAGGGAAAGAAGAAGAGAAAGGAAGAAGGGAAGGAGAGGAAGAAGAGAAGGGGCUGCGGCUGCGGCGAUGGCAGCUGCAGUUGGAAGAGAAGAAGGAGAGGAAGAUGAGCAGGGGAGGAAGAAAAGGCUGUGGCCGUGGCUGAGGCUGCGACUGCAGCAUGCAGCUGGGAAAGAAGAGAAGGAAAGGAAGAAGAAGAGAAAGGAAGAAGGGAAGGAGAGGAAGAAGAGAAGGGGCUACGGCUGCGGCGAUGGCAGCUGCAGUUGGAAGAGAAGAAGGAGAGGAAGAUGAGCAGGGGAGGAAGAAGAGGCUGCGAGUGUGGUGGCUGCGGCCGUGGCUGCGACUCCGGCUGCGGCUGCAACGUUGGCUGCGGUAGCUGCGGCAGCGGUGGUGGCUGCAGUAGCUGCUUUUGGGAAAGAGAAAGAGUAGGAACGAGAGAAGAGAAGGAAGGAAGGUAGUGCGGUGGAAGGGGCUGCGAUUGUAGCAGCGGCAACGGCGGCGGCUGUGGCAGCUGCGUUUGGGAAAGAAAAAGAAGGAAUGAGAGUAAGAGAGAGCAGGUGACUGUGCCUCGAUGUUCGACACGUGGUGUAGUUGCGAAGAAAGGAAGAAAACGGGAGCACAAAACGAAACAGAGAGAGGACACGGAGGAAAAGUAGAAGGAUUUGGGCUGGCACCUUCUUUGGAUCUUCGGAUCGAAAUCUUUGAAAGGUCAGCUUGCCACUCUUCGAGAUGUUUGAUUUGGGCUGAGGCAGUGGAUAGCUAUUCAGAAUAAUGGGCAAGUCUGGUUGGUUAUUACGAUAUUGUUGUAUAAGUAUGUCUUGUAUGUAAUGAAAUGUUGUCGAUGAACCGAAAUGGAUAUACUGUGUCAAAGUGUUAGGAGAUCUCUCUUAUUUGGAAUUUCAGAAUGUUAAGUCUAAUUUAUGGUGAUAUGAACUUGUGGUGAAUAGUUGGAGUUCUGAUUGUAUAAUUUAUUUAGCUUGUGGAUUUAUAAAUGUUGUUCAUGUUUGUCAAGUUGGCUUGGGUUGCCAUAAAUGUGAAUUAUCGAGUGAUGUGAUAUAUGAUUAUAAACUGCACAGGUUUUAUGGAUGUGAAUAUAAAUAGAAUGUUUUCAGUGUCCUCAAACGUUAGUUUGGAUCCUGGAUUGGCCUGUGACGAAAAUUUUAAAAAUCAUGGAUAUUUUGAGGGGCGUGACUGAGGUGGUAUCAGAGCAUUGUUUGAGGAUUACUGAAAUAUUUGAUAUGUUGACGUGCAAAAUAUAUUGAGGUCUAAUGAAACUAUAGUGAUUGGUGGAAAUUUUCUUUGAUGUAUUUUAGGAAUCUGGGAUGAUGAGGACAUUUGGUCCUCCUAUUUCAUUGUUUCUGAUUAAUUAAGGGGAAUGAAAGGAUUGAUUGGGGAUAUUGAAUCAGAGUGGCGCAGCGAAAGCAUGGUGGACCUAAUUUCAUUGGUGGUAGAAAAAUGAAUGAUGCAAACAGAGAAGAUAUUUGAUGUACAAAAUUGUUUUGAUGAUCAAAAGAUUUCUUUUGCCACCUUAUCUUGGAAGUAGAGGCUGAUUAUUAUUGGCAACAAUGAAAAGAAUUUUCGGAGAUCAGUGACAAGAAUGAUAAGGACAAGUUUACCAAUAAGAAUAUGAUUGGAAAUGAAUCAGAAAGUAAUGACAAGAGGGUCAAGACAUUUGGAUUUGAAAAGGAAAGUCACCACCAAAGACUUAAUCAUGUGUGAAUUACAAGUUAAAUUAUGAAACAAGUUUGUGUUUUCGGGUGAUUAGAGUCUAUUUUGCUUGUAGAAAGUUGGAUCAUAAAAUAAAAGUUUGCCCUUUGAACAAGAAGAAAGAGUCACUGCCUCCUAAAUCAUCAGCCCAUGUAAGAGUGUAUGCUAUCACUAAAUAUGAUUCUGAAACUUCUGAAUUAGUGGUCAAAGGUAUUAUGCAUGUUUAUGAAAGAAUGCAAAUAUUUCUUCGACCAUGGGUCCAAUCUACGAUUUGAUUCGUAAUAUUUUGCUUAUCACUUGGGUAUUCAACCUAGACCACUACAUUAUGUGCUAUAAGUAAAUACGAUCAUUGGAGAUUCUUUGAUAACGAAGUUGAAUCUGGUCCUCUUGUCUGAUUCUUAUUGGAGAACUUGAACUUUUGCUGAUUUAGUUCUCCUAGAGAUUUGGAGUUAUGAUAUUAUACUUGGUAUGGAUUGGCCAUCUUCUUAUCAUACGAGUAUGGAUUGAUAUAUAACAAAUGAUCACUUUUUGUAUAUUUGAUCAGUCGAUCUUUUACUUUGAGAGUAUGGGACAUAAUUUAUCUCCUUGCCUAAUGUAUCCAGGAUGACUUGCUUGGAUUACCUCCAAAUGUGACUUUGCUUUUGAUUUGGUCCUUGGGAUAAUCCCAAUAUCUAAGCCUCUCUACAGAAAGAUAUCAUUUGAGUAAGUGGAAUUGGAAAAGCAACUACAAGGAUUGUUAAAUGAGGAUUUUAUUUGGCUUAAUAUUUCAUCAUGGGGUGCUCCGGUGUUAGUUAAAAGAUGGAUGGAACAUUGAGGCUUUGUAUUGAUUAUAGAUAGUUGAAUUAGGUGACCAUCAAAAAACGAGUAUUUUCUAAAGUGACCACUUGUUUGAUUAACUGCAGGGUGCACAGGUAUUUUAAAAGAUUGUUUGAAGGUCGGGUUACCAUCUAUUGAGGAUCAAGGAGGAGAAUAUUUCGGUCACUCGUGGAUAAUUAUGUAAUUGUAUUGUAUUGAUGAAACUAUUUAAGAGUAGGAGGAGGAAAUAAAGAUAUCAUAAUCUUCAUCUUUUCAUCGAUUGAGCUAUGAUCAAUUUAGAGGACUAAAUUUUCUUUUAAGGGGGGGAGAGUGUAAUAUCCCUCGCUUUUAAAAAUUAUUAAUAAAGAUUUAUAUGUAAAUUGGAGGACCUAUAUGUAAAUAUAGAAAUUACAAGGACUAAACUGCUAAGUUGCAAAAAAAAAGAAAAAAAAAAGGGAAAACCGAAAAUUCGGUAUUAUCCCACCGCCUCCCACGCACUCUGUUUCUUCCAGAAACAGAGAGAGCGGUGGGGCGUGAGGAGAAGAAGGAGAGUGGUAGAAGAAGAGAGGAAGAAGAGGGAGAAGAGAAGAAGAAGAAGAAGAAGAAGAAGAAGAAGAAGAAGAGGGAAAAGAAGAGAGGAGGAAGAAGAGAGGAAGAAGAGGGAGAAGAGAAGAAGAAGAAGAAGAAGAGGAGGUGGCUGCAGCGAGGGCUGCAGCGAGGAGCUGUGGGGCGUGGGGAGGAGAAGAGAGGAAGAAGAGGGAGAAGAGAAGAAGAAGAAGAAGAAGAAGAAGAAGAAGAGAGGAGGAUAGCUGCGGCAAGGCUGCAGCGAGGAGGUGUGUGGGGUUGGGGAGGAAAAGGGAAGAGGAGAAGAAGAGAGUAAAGAGAGGGAAGAGGGAGAGGAGCGAGAGGUGGCAGCAGCUAGGGCUGCAGCACCUCUGUUUCCUGCAGGUGGAAACAGAGGAGACGUGUGGGGCGUUCGAAGAGGAGAAGAAGAAGAAGAGGAAGAGAAGAGGAAGAGGAAGCAGGGGAAGAGGUUGUGAUACCUCUGUUUCCUGCAGAGGAAACAGAGGAGAGGGUGUGGGUGACGUCGGGGAGAAGAAGGGGAGGAAGGAGAAGAAGAGAAGAAGAAGAAAGGAAGGAAAAGGAAGAGGAGAAGGGAAGAAAGUAGCUGCGGCUGCGGUUGUGGCAGCUGCAGCUGUGGCAGGGAAAGAAGAAGAGAAAGGAAGAAGGGAAGGAGAGGAAGAAGAGAAGGGGCUGCGGCUGCGGCGAUGGCAGCUGCAGUUGGAAGAGAAGAAGGAGAGGAAGAUGAGCAGGGGAGGAAGAAAAGGCUGUGGCCGUGGCUGAGGCUGCGACUGCAGCAUGCAGCUGGGAAAGAAGAGAAGGAAAGGAAGAAGAAGAGAAAGGAAGAAGGGAAGGAGAGGAAGAAGAGAAGGGGCUACGGCUGCGGCGAUGGCAGCUGCAGUUGGAAGAGAAGAAGGAGAGGAAGAUGAGCAGGGGAGGAAGAAGAGGCUGCGAGUGUGGUGGCUGCGGCCGUGGCUGCGACUCCGGCUGCGGCUGCAACGUUGGCUGCGGUAGCUGCGGCAGCGGUGGUGGCUGCAGUAGCUGCUUUUGGGAAAGAGAAAGAGUAGGAACGAGAGAAGAGAAGGAAGGAAGGUAGUGCGGUGGAAGGGGCUGCGAUUGUAGCAGCGGCAACGGCGGCGGCUGUGGCAGCUGCGUUUGGGAAAGAAAAAGAAGGAAUGAGAGUAAGAGAGAGCAGGUGACUGUGCCUCGAUGUUCGACACGUGGUGUAGUUGCGAAGAAAGGAAGAAAACGGGAGCACAAAACGAAACAGAGAGAGGACACGGAGGAAAAGUAGAAGGAUUUGGGCUGGCACCUUCUUUGGAUCUUCGGAUCGAAAUCUUUGAAAGGCAAGUUUCCCACUUGUUUCGAUCCUUUCUAUUGCAAGUUCCCUGAUCGUUUCUCCUAUAAUUGCUUUGAUAUUUCUUAUUGCAAGUUCCCUGAUCGUUUCUCCUAUAAUUGCUUUGAUAUUUCUUAUUGCAAGUUUCCCACUUGUUUCGAUCCUUUCUAUUGCAAGUUCCCUGAUCGUUUCUCCUAUAAUUGCUCUGAUAUGUCUUAUUGCAAGUAUCCUGAUCUUCCUCACUGCCAUUUUUAUCUCUACAUUUGCUUUGAAUAUGAGGAACUUUGAAUUGUUCUAGCCUUGCAUUUGUUAUAUCUCCUGUUUAAACGUAACGAUUCGAAUCUGUGCAACUUUUGAGAUUCUGACCUUUUGAUACCGAGCUGCCUAUAAGUCUUUGUUGGAAACUCUGAUUUGUUCAAAACUGAUUUCAUUGGAAACUAGACUCGUAGACCUUUCUUUGAUAUAUGGAUUGAAAGAUUUGGAAUCCAAACACCUGCCCAGUUAUCUGUUGAAUCUGACAUUAUGAAUUCUGUCAACAGAGAUUUUGUUCUAUGACUCUUGCUUACCAAAUUAUUUGUAACUCUCUCUGUUGGACAGUUCAAUUCAUAUGAAGCCUGUCUUAUCUGAAAAUAUUAUCCAAUGAUUAUUUCUGAGUAAAUUGGAGCACGAUUGAUAGUUUGAAUCAUUUGUUCAAUGUGCCUUCUGUAUUCUGCCAGAAAUCGAGCUUUGGUCGAUUUCUCAUAUUCUGGUUUCAUUCCUUUGGAAAUUGAUAUCCUUUAGCCUUCUUAUUCAAUUGAGCUUUAUAUUACUACUUUGAAUUCUUGUAUGCUCUUGUCCUUAAAAUUAUUGCAUUCUUGAAAAAUGUUGUGUAACGUUUAUGCUAUAUCGUAUUGACUCAUAUAGGCACAUGUAUAUCCUAUUGUUCCGCAUUUGCUUUCGAUAUGUGCCUAUUCCAGUUUCAUUCUUUUGGACAUUGAAUUCAUCAAAUCUUCUUAUUGAAUUGAGUUAUUUGUGAUUGCUUGGAUUCCAUAUGUGCCCUUGCUUUCAAUUCCCUUCAAAUCUGAAUAUACUUGUGAAAGAUUAUUGCUUACUUCGGAUUGACUCGUAAAGGCACAUGUACGUUUGUUGUUCCGCGUGUGCUUCCGAUAUAUGCUACUUAUUGUUGAAACUACCCUUUUGUACUCUGGUGUGUGGGAUUGUCUGGACCUUUGCCAGAAAUGGUAAAGGGUAUGCGCUGAUUUGCCCGCUAUGUGGGGUCCCGCUAUGUGGGAUAUUCUGGUAUGCGCUUAUUUGCCCGCUAUGUGGGGUCCCGCUAUGUGGGAUAUUGCUUAGAGCCUGCGAUGCUCUGCCGGCCCCCUUUGACUUCAUCUAGACGUGGGUGGAUGGAGCUCCCAGACGUGGGAGACUUUUGUCAGGUGGUCAUUCAGAAAUGGAUGAAUCACAUUCUGACUGAGAUCCCACUACACCUUCUGUAUGUUUGAUAUGAUAUCCAGAGCUUUGGUUAUGUGUUUCUGUACAUGCUUUGGAUAAGAUUGAUAUGUUUGCAACGUCAAAGACGACGUUUGAGCUUC